rnacentral:rRNA from 1 species
CCUACGGGAGGCAGCAGUAGGGAAUCUUCCACAAUGGGCGAAAGCCUGAUGGAGCAACGCCGCGUGGGUGAAGAAGGUCUUCGGAUCGUAAAACUCUGUUGUUAGAGAAGAAAGUGCGUGAGAGUAACUGUUCACGUUUCGACGGUAUCUAACCAGAAAGCCACGGCUAACUACGUGCCAGCAGCCGCGGUAAUACGUAGGUGGCAAGCGUUAUCCGGAUUUAUUGGGCGUAAAGGGAACGCAGGCGGUCUUUUAAGUCUGAUGUGAAAGCCUUCGGCUUAACCGGAGUAGUGCAUUGGAAACUGGGAGACUUGAGUGCAGAAGAGGAGGGUGGAACUCCAUGUGUAGCGGUGAAAUGCGUAGAUAUAUGGAAGAACACCAGUGGCGAAGGCGGCUCUCUGGUCUGUAACUGACGCUGAGGUUCGAAAGCGUGGGUAGCAAACAGGAUUAGAUACCCCUGUAGUC